UAUACUUAUUAGGAUUAUUUUUAAACACUACAUUGUAUUUACUUGUUGGCUUUAUAAUUUAGAAAUAAUAUUUUGGAUUAACUGUGUGACUCAUGAGAGGGAGUUUGUGCAAUUACAAUCUUUACAAAUUUUUACUUGAUUUUCAAGACUUACACUACAACUGUUAGAACAAGGUAAUAAAUAAGCAUAUCUAUUAAUAUCAACUCUUGGCUCAACCCAAUGAUAGUGUAGGAAUUAACAUAAUUUUUCCUACUAAAGGUAUUGGAUUUGUUUUGAGAGACCGCAGUUUAAAAUCAUUGACAUAGAAAGUUUAAAAAUUGUUAAAUUUUUAAAAUGCCUUUGAAAUUGUAUUAUAGAAAAAUAAAUAUCCUAGUUUAGAUUGGUAGGUUUUUUUUUUAAAUAAGGACUAGGCCAAGAGAAAGGGAGAGUAGUGAUAAAUGUCCAGGUUUUUAAGUUGAAAAGUGAAAAUCAGUGUAUUACAAUGGAUGGAUUUGAUGUCAAAUUACAGAUGCUGAAAACAUUGUAUGUAAUCUACUAGCCAGGGUAAUUAUACAAGGCAAAGAAAUGAAAGGCAUCCAAAUAGGAAAGGAAGGGGUGAGAUUGUCUCUGUUUUCUGAAAAUGUAAUCCUAAUGUAAAGAAAAUCUUAGACUCCACCGAAAAAACCUGUUAAAGCUGAUAAACACAUUCAAUAAAGUUGAGAGUUACAAAAUUAACAUACAAAUAGUAUUCUUGUUUCUAAACACCCAUGACAAACUAUCCGAAAAAUAAAUUAAUAAAGUAAUUACAUUUAUAGUAGCAACAAAACAAAUAUAUAAGUAAAUAAAAUACUAAGGAGUAAUUUUAAUGAAGGGUGUGAAAGAUGUGUAUACUGAAAAUUAUAGCACAUUGAUGAAAGAAU
rnacentral:lncRNA from 1 species